UGCAUCCUUUACAUUGUGCAA
rnacentral:piRNA from 1 species